ACGUAGGUGGCAAGCGUUGUCCGGAAUUACUGGGCGUAAAGCGCACGCAGGCGGUCUGUCAAGUCGGAUGUGAAAUCCCCGGGCUCAACCUGGGAACUGCAUUCGAAACUGGCAGGCUAGAGUCUUGUAGAGGGGGGUAGAAUUCCAGGUGUAGCGGUGAAAUGCGUAGAGAUCUGGAGGAAUACCGGUGGCGAAGGCGGCCCCCUGGACAAAGACUGACGCUCAUGCACGAAAGCGUGGGGAUCAAACAGGA
rnacentral:rRNA from 1 species